AUUGAACGCUGGCGGCAUGCUUUACACAUGCAAGUCGAACGGCAGCGCGGGCUUCGGCCUGGCGGCGAGUGGCGAACGGGUGAGUAAUGCAUCGGAACGUGCCCAGUAGUGGGGGAUAGCCCGGCGAAAGCCGGAUUAAUACCGCAUACGACCUGAGGGUGAAAGCGGGGGACCGAAAGGCCUCGCGCUAUUGGAGCGGCCGAUGUCGGAUUAGCUAGUUGGUGGGGUAAAGGCUUACCAAGGCGACGAUCCGUAGCUGGUCUGAGAGGUCGACCAGCCACACUGGGACUGAGACACGGCCCAGACUCCUACGGGAGGCAGCAGUGGGGAAUUUUGGACAAUGGGGGCAACCCUGAUCCAGCCAUGCCGCGUGCGGGAAGAAGGCCUUCGGGUUGUAAACCGCUUUUGUUCGGGAAGAAAUCCUCUGGGCUAAUACCCCGGGGGGAUGACGGUACCGGAAGAAUAAGCACCGGCUAACUACGUG
rnacentral:rRNA from 1 species